UCCCUGUUACCAGGGCAGUCUAGCUAGAAAAAUACAACUAACUAUAAGGGUUGCGCUCGUUGAAGGACUUAACCUAACAUCUCACGACACGAGCUGACGACGGCCAUGCAUCACCUGUCACUUGGUUCCUUACGGCACAAUCUCCUUUCGGAGAAAUUCCAAGGAUGUCAAGCCUGGGUAAGGUUCUUCGCUUACCAUCGAAUUAAACAACACGCUCCACCGCUUGUGCGGGUCCCCGUCAAUUCCUUUAUGUUUUAAGCUUGCGCUCGUACUCCACAGGCGGGAUGCUUAACGCGUUAGCUUCGCUACAAGCCGGGUCGAUACGGCUUACAGCUAGCAUCCAUAGUUUACGGCGUGGACUAC
rnacentral:misc_RNA from 1 species